rnacentral:rRNA from 1 species
CGGCAACAGCUCAAAUUUGAAAUCUGGCCUCUCGGGGUCCGAGUUGUAAUUUGUAGAGGAUGUUUUGGGUACCGCCCCGGUCUAAAUUUCUUGGAACAGAAUGUCAAAGAGGGUGAGAAUCCCGU